UGUUGUUUUUUGUUUUGGCUAUCUGAUUUUUACGCAGUAGCCAACAUUAGUUCCUUUGCAGAUCUCAAGCUUAAAUUUUGCUUGAGAAAGACUUGUGCCGGCUUCUGAUGAACCCACACACCCCGGCGAAACUGUUUAAUCACGUCUGCCGGGAAUAAGUCAGUGAGCGCAAGAAACUGCAACCAUCGUGUUCCGCCUACAAAGACUGCAAUUGAUAAGUACAUAAAGGAUGUUGCUGCAUUUUUUCUUAUGUGACGGUUGCCGGUUAGUUUGCAAAGAUCUUACUGGAGGGUAGUCAACAACCAAAGCAGGAGGUGACCGUACCCUCCCAGAACAAGCCUAAGUCCACUGAACGAUAACGAUGAGCGGAGUACCGAUAUGUAACAUCACCAGGAUUAUCGUCAGAAUGAAGUUAAACCGGCAGCAACUUCAUUAGCAACCAACCUUAGCAGCAUCAGCAACAAAAGGAAAUUUAAUUGAAUCCACCACGGCUGUGUGUUACGUGUUAGUUCAAGAUGCCACAGGUGACCGGAUUGGCACUAGUGAAUGAGGAGUUAUAGGACUAGGGAAGUGCAUCGUAGUUAACGCAGACAUUGGAAACAAGAUUUAAAUAAAAAAAUAUACGUCGUUACAAAACUUAA